rnacentral:rRNA from 1 species
UACUGCUCAGUAACACGUGGAUAACCUGCCCAAGGGUCCGGGAUAACCCCGGGAAACUGGGGAUAAUACCGGAUGGAUCACUAGUGCUGGAAUGCUUGGUGGUCGAAAGGUAACGCCUUUGGAUGGGUCUGCGGCGGAUUAGGUUGACGCCGGUGUAACGUACCGGCGUGCCUGUAAUCCGUACGGGUUGUGGGAGCAAGAGCCCGGAGAUGGAUUCUGAGACACGAAUCCAGGCCCUACGGGGCGCAGCAGGCGCGAAAACUCUACAAUGCAGGCAACUGCGAUAGGGGGACAUCGAGUGGCAUCCACCUUGGGUGCCUGUCCAACCGUCUAAAAAACGGUUGUUAGCAAGGGCCGGGUAAGACCGGUGCCAGCCGCCGCGGUAAUACCGGCGGCUCGAGUGGUGGCCGAUAUUAUUGAGUCUAAAGGGUCCGUAGCCGGCUUUGCAAGUCCCCUGGGAAAUCCAGCGGCUUAACCGUUGGGCUUUCAUGGGAUACUACAUUGCUUGGGACUGGGAGAGGUAGGAGGUACUCGGGGGGUAGGGGUGAAAUCCUGUAAUCCUCCGGGGACCACCGGUGGCGAAGGCGUCCUACCAGAACAGGUCCGACGGUGAGGGACGAAAGCUAGGGGCACGAACCGGAUUAGAUACCCGGGUAGUCCUAGCCGUAAACGAUGCCCGCUAGGUGUCACGACGGUCGUGAAUCGUCGUGGUGCCGUAGGGAAGCCGCGAAGCGGGCCACUUGGGAAGUACGGCCGCAAGGCUGAAACUUAAAGGAAUUGGCGGGGGAGCACA